GAAGUUGAAAAAGGAGCGGGGAAAUUCCGCUGCUAAUGUUGCAUAUACACCUGAGGCAUCUUCCAAAACGGUCAUGGUCUCUGCGGAUGAGUUUGCCAAGUUCUCUCAGUACCAAGAAUCCCUUAAACAUUCAUCCUCUUCGGUCACUGCUAUUGCUGACUCAGGUAAUACAACCACAUGCCUUCUCUCAUCCUCAUCCAAAUGGGUUAUAGAUUCGGGUGCUACAGAUCAUAUGACAGGAUCUUAUGACGAAGAGGGUUAUUGGUAAGGGGCGCGAGUCUGGAGGUCUCUACGUUCUUGACACAGCGAGGCCGGAGUCUGUUGCGUGUUCUAGUGCUGUCACUCCAGUUGAAGCACAUUGUCGUUUGGGGCAUCCUUCCCUUCCCUUGUUGAAGAAAUUGUGUCCGCGAUUUUCUAGUUUGUCUUUUUUACAUUGUGAGUCGUGUGAGUUUUCUAAGCACCAUCGUGUGCAUUUGAGUCCUAGAGUUCACAAAUGAGCGUCUGCCCCUUUUGAGUUAGU